rfam:Picea glauca, whole genome shotgun sequence.
AUGUACAUGCCUACAACGUGAAUGCACUGUAUCCCAUUAAAACUCCUAAGCUAAUCAUGCUUGGGCUAGAGUAGUACUAGGAUGGGUGACCUCCUAGAAAGUCCUAGUGUUUUACAUG